GAUGCGUAUCCCGGCAGUGAGUCGGCGGGGGAUAAGCUCCGUCGUCGAAAGGGAAACAGCCCAGAUCGUCGUCUAAGGUCCCCAAGCGUGUGCUAAGUGGGAAAGGAUGUGGAGUCGCAUAGACAGCCAGGAGGUUGGCUCAGAAGCAGCCACCCUUGAAAGAGUGCGUAACAGCUCACUGGUCUAGUGGUUCCGCGCCGACAAUGUAGCGGGGCUCAAGCACACCACCGAAGACGCGGCAGUAGCUUUGCUACUGGGUAGGAGAGCGUCCCAUGCGGGGCGAAGCGGCGGCGCAAGCCCGCCGUGGACCGCAUGGGAGUGAGAAUGCAGACAUGAGUAGCGAAAGACGGGUGAAGAUCCCGUCCGCUGGACGACCAAGGGUUCCAGGGCCACGUUCAUCGUCCCUGGGUGAGUCGGGUCCUAAGGCGAGGCCGACAGGCGUAGUCGAAUGGAUGAACGGGUCGAUAUUCCCGUACCGGCAUGCAACCGACAAAACCGAAUCCGCGAGUACUAACCUCCGGGUCCGGGCUUACGUCUCCUUCGGGAGCCGGAUGCCCUGGCCUGUUGGGACCGUAACGGUAGUAGGUCAGCGCGGGAGUGACGCAGAAGGGUAGCCGGCCGCGGAGGUGGUCUUCCGUGGUCAAGCACGCAGCCCGUCCCACAGGCAAAUCCGUGGGGCGCGUGGGCGAGGUGCGAUGAUGGGCGCCGCAGGGCGCGAUAUCCGGUGAUCCCGGCUGCCGAGAAAAGCUUCGGCGUGAGGCGGCGUGCCGCCCGUACCCCAAACCGACACUGGUGGUCAGGUAGAGAAUACCAAAGCGAUCGAGCGAAUCCUGGUCAAGGAACUCGGCAAAUCACUCCCGUUCCUUCGGUUUAAGGGAGACCCCCGAUGGUGAAGCGGCUUGCCCGUGGAGCUUUUGGGGGUGGCACAGACCAGGGGGUAGCGACUGUUUACCAAAAACACAGGAGCGUGCGAAGGCGCAAGCCGCUGUAUACGCUCUGACGCCUGCCCGGUGCCGGAAGGUUAAGAGGAUCCGUCAGGCUUCGGCCGAAGCGGUGAAUUCAAGCCCCGGUAAACGGCGGUGGUAACUAUAACCAUCCUAAGGUAGCGAAAUUCCUUGUCGGGUAAGUUCCGACCUGCACGAAUGGCGUAACGACUUCCCCACUGUCUCGACCAGGAGCUCGGCGAAAUUGCAGUACGAGUAAAGAUGCUCGUUAAGCGCAGAAGGACGAAAAGACCCCGGGACCUUUACUAUACCUUGGUAUUGGCAUUCGGUGUGGAUUGUGUAGCAUAGGCGGAAGGCUUCGAAGCCACGGCGCCAGCCGCGGUGGAGCCGCAAGGUGAAAUACCGCUCUGUUCGCAUUGGAUGUCUAACCUCGACCAGUCAUCCUGGUCAGGGACAGUGCCUGGCGGGUAGUUUAACUGGGGCGGUUGCCUCCCAAAGAGUAACGGAGGCGCUCAAAGGUUCCCUCAGCCCGGUUGGCAAUCGGGUGGCGAGUGUAAGUGCACAAGGGAGCUUGACUGCGAGACUGACGGGUCGAGCAGGGACGAAAGUCGGAACUAGUGAUCCGGUGCCGGUGUACGGACGCGGCAUCGCUCAACGGAUAAAAGGUACCCCGGGGAUAACAGGCUGAUCAUUCCCAAGAGUCCAUAUCGACGGGAU
rnacentral:rRNA from 1 species